rnacentral:rRNA from 1 species
UACGAAGGGGGCUAGCGUUGUUCGGAAUCACUGGGCGUAAAGGGCGCGUAGGCGGUUUGUACAGUCAGACGUGAAAUUCCUGGGCUCAACCUGGGGGCUGCGUUUGAUACGUGCAGACUUGAGUUCGGAAGAGGGUCGUGGAAUUCCCAGUGUAGAGGUGAAAUUCGUAGAUAUUGGGAAGAACACCGGUGGCGAAGGCGGCGACCUGGUCCGAUACUGACGCUGAGGCGCGAAAGCGUGGGGAGCAAACAGG